GCCACCGUAGCUCAGUGGUAGAGCACACCCUUGGUAAGGGUGAGGUCGAGGGUUCAAAUCCCUUCGGCGGCU
rnacentral:tRNA from 3 species